rnacentral:rRNA from 1 species
UAGGGAAUCUUCCGCAAUGGACGCAAGUCUGAAGGAGCAACGCCGCGUGAGUGAAGAAGGAUUUCGGUUCGUAAAACUCUGUUGUUAGAGAAGAACAGCGCAUAGAGUAACUGUUAUGCGUGUGACGGUAUCUAACCAGAAAGCCACGGCUAACUACGUGCCAGCAGCCGCGGUAAUACGUAGGUGGCAAGCGUUGUCCGGAUUUAUUGGGAGUAAAGCGAGCGCAGGCGGUCAAUUAAGUCUGAUGUGAAAGCCCCCGGCUCAACCGGGGAGGGUCAUUGGAAACUGGUUGACUUGAGUGCAGAAGAGGAGAGUGGAAUUCCAUGUGUAGCGGUGAAAUGCGUGGAUAUAUGGAGGAACACCAGUGGCGAAGGCGACUCUCUGGUCUGUAACUGACGCUGAGGUUCGAAAGCGUGGGUAGCAAACAGG